CAAGUUAGUGAAUAAAAUUAAUAAAAACCAAAAACACACACACAUAUGUGUGUCUUGGUCGAACGUACAGGAGAGCAAAAGAGGGUUUCUCUUUGAAACCCUAAACUCACGAAAUUUCAGUAAAUCGAAGGGAAAUCGAGCUAGAAAAUUUGGGGCUUUUACUAAAAUUGUGAUCACCAAGCUUAGAGAAUCAAGAGUUUGACUCUGACAAGCUAGGUAGGAGCUUGGAAAUGAACGGGUCAAAUGGAUACAAGUUCAAGUAUGAAGCUCGCAAAGAUGCAAGGUAAGUAUAGCUUACACUAGUCAUAUAUUUUAGAAUGUUCUUUUGUCGUAUUGAUUACGAGUAAGACAAAUGGGAAUUUGAGAUAUGGUGUUCCGGCGUGUGGUCGUACGGAACAAGAUAACCAAUUAGGAUAAGAGACCGUAUUGAUGGUAAAAAAAAAUGAGUUAAAUCGGUGAUUCGAUCAUAUUAUGACGAAUUAAACAAGUACUUUUAAAGGUUACCAUAUAAGGUAAACCAUGAUAACCACUAAGGGUAAAAAAAUUGUAAUUCGGUCACUUGUUGAUAAUAAUUGUUCAUUUUGAAAUGCACGUAUUUCGUAAGCCUUAAUAGGCCAAAAGCAUUAAGAGGUGAAUUACAAUUAAAAACGACCGUGCGGUGUAAAUCGGAGCGAGUCGUGUAGACGAGAUGGCAAAAAAGCUUCAUCUCGCCAAUAUAAUCGGUCAUCUAGACCAAACGGGUCAAAAGGUGAAAAUAUCACUCUUUGACAAUAUCGACUAAUGAUUUGUUGAGUUGUAUGAUUACAGAAAUAGUUAUCGAAUGGAUAAUUACAUCGCUACACUUAGCGGCUAUUGAGGCAAGGUAUUUAAAUGGGUCAAUAUAAUGAUCUGAGCCAGGUACGCAUAAUAGAUUAACUCUCAUUUAAACGUAAGGUUUAAUGAGAGUUAAUCGGAGUCUAAAAUAGAUUUCGGUUACUUUAAUAGGUAAACCGAAUGUUACGAACGAUGGCCAUUACGUUUGAAAGGUCUAAUAACCUUUCAAACAAAAUCAUAGUUAAGAAGAAGGCUUAUGGGUCAAACUUGUUUACAAAAAUCUUUCAUCGUUAAUGAAGGGCCAAAAUGGACCAAAACGUCCUUAUAAGUCCAACUGAGCAAACAACCCCUAAAGGUUGUUUGGAAACGAGUUUUUUUGGUUAGACAAAUACUUAGGACAAAUAUAGAAGUUGAAAGAUGUAAUACCUUGGCCAAAUGGCUCUAUUUGAGUCUUGCCGUAAAUAAUGAGUUGAAGUGUAAAAACUCGGUUUAUAUAGUUUAUCAUAGUAAACCCACAAUCAUUUCAGCCAUGGUGGAAAAUUAUAUGAUAAGAAACGUGGUAAUGCAAAGCAUGAAGAACAUGCAGCAGCUACCGUAAGUUACGGUAGCUAACGUAACUUACGGUAGCAACUAAAGUUGUUACGCUGAAGAUGUACUGCCUUACGGCAGCCCCUGAAUGCCCAGUGGCUACCGUAACUUACGGUGGCUACCGUAAGUUACGGUAGCGCCCAGCUAUUUUUGUUGAAUCUCCUUUCGUGUACCCGUUUGAAUACGUUUUAAACCAAGUAUGACUAAAACAUUUCACGUUUAUGAAAUGUAGGUACAUUUUGAUGCCGGAAGACGAUCAAGCUUAACGAAGAACCGAACACGAUAAAGAUACAUGCUUUCGCAAGUUGUCGUCGUUUUACAUUUCAAACGACGAAUUUAAUUACACUAAGUUGUUUUACUUUCAAGUCUAGAAAAGUUUUAAUAAACCCGUAUUUGAGCAAGAAUGUUUAAAUCUAAAUACUCAUUUAAUUUGUAAUUAUAACCUGGUUGUUACA